rnacentral:antisense_RNA from 1 species
AAUAACCAAAUAUAACACUUGGGCUAAGAGUCAAGUUGGUAAUUUUUCUUACAUCCCCCCCUCCUGGAGCCCAGGUAUCAUAUACGCCCCCAAAAAAUAGAGAGCCUUGAAUACUAGAAGAAAAGCACCUACACCUAACAAAAUUAAGUGAAUACCCAAAAUGGUGGUCAUUUUUUUUCUAUCUUUCCA